rnacentral:misc_RNA from 1 species
UACCACCAUCUGCGUGUUUUAGCUUUUUCUUCCAUGUGCUGCUGAGCAUUUCUGGGCUUGGCUAAACUCAUAUCACCAUACAUCCAUCUGAUCAUUCGUAUUUUAUGGAAAUUGCUGGGGUGCUGGAAGCACAACACUCGCUCAUGUAACAUUGCUAGUCUUACGACUAUUUUGUAGAACUUGUUUUGCUUGGAGGAUGAAACACAUAAUUGAGGCUGCAACAGUUCUGCCCCAUUUGGGCCUUUUAAUUCCAAUACUCUAUAAUUGAUUUUUCGGAAAACUUAAGGGCAUUUUAAUGAAGUCAAGGGCACAUGAGGCUGA